rfam:Coprobacillus sp. CAG:605 genomic scaffold, scf110
UUGUUAUACCGAAGAGAAAUCUUGUCAGGUCUACACGCAAGUGUUGAAUGAAAAUUUAAUCGUAUUUGUAAAUACGACACCUUGUGUGGAAGCUGUCCUUUAUGGACAGCUUUUUUGUCGCAC